GAGCUAUCCGGCAAGGUGGUGGUCGGGAAGCAGAGCCACUAUUUUGCAGUGCGGGCUCACGAAUCCGUGGGCCAUACUCCCCACCUACGGUGGGCAAAGUGACUGGCAGCCUGUGACUCCACCCCCUUGGCUAUAGCUGAUUGGACGAGGAUGGGCACUGGUACCCAAGCCAGGCCAAUCAGAAUGCCUUCUCCAGGAAUUUGGAAAGGUGACCAAGGAAUCCCAGACUCCGCGGGAAAUCUGGGAGCUAUCAGGGGCCGUCCUGCUGCCACGGGGGCUGAGGGCCUUGAGUGCCACCACAAGCAUGAAGCAGACAAGGAGAGAAGCAGCCGGAGAGCGCUGGGGAGACCAGACCUUUCCUGGUCCUGGGUCAAGGCCACGGUCCUGCCUUUGGUUUCAGAGACUCCCCUGCAGCAUUUUAUUAAAUUCGCUUUUUUUUUCAUGUUUAA